UAGUGAAAUGAUGGCAAUCAUCUUUCAGGACUGACCUGCGAUGAAGAGAGUACCCAUUGCCCACCACUU
ensembl:snoRNA